UACGGGGGGGGCAAGCGUUGUUCGGAAUUACUGGGCGUAAAGGGUUCGUAGGUGGCUCGCUAAGUCAGACGUGAAAUCCCUUAGCUUAACUGGGGAACUGCGUCUGAGACUGGCGAGCUCGAGUGCAGGAGAGGAACGCGGAAUUCCAGGUGUAGCGGUGAAAUGCGUAGAUAUCUGGAGGAACACCGGUGGCGAAGGCGGCGUUCUGGACUGCAACUGACACUGAGGAACGAAAGCCAGGGUAGCAAACGGG
rnacentral:rRNA from 1 species